UUCCGGGGGUGGGCGUUCGCCCCCGUGUUCUUUGAGCGUCCCGCUCCGGCGGGGCAUCAGUGCACGUCGGGAGGAAAGUCCGGACACCACAGGGCACGACUCCCUGCGAAAGCAGGGGCACCUCGUGCGAUAUCGCGAGGUGACGGCCAGUGUCUCAGAAAACAGACCGCCGGUUCCCGGGCGCGGGCCGCAAGGCGCGUGUCAGGCGGGAGCCGGUAAGGGUGAAAAGGUGGGGUAAGAGCCCACCGCGCCGGGCGCGAGUCCGGCGGCAGGAUAAACCCAGUCGGGUGCAAGGCAAAAUAGGGGACGGAGUGGCCCGCUCGAUCGUCCCGGGUAUGUCGCACGCGGCGCAAGCCGCGGACCCCGCUCCAGGCGGGGUCAGAGAAAUGAACGCCGCUCGGAGGCCGGUUCCCGGUCUCCGGGUACAGAAUCCGGCUUACAGCCCCCGGAAUCAG
rnacentral:RNase_P_RNA from 1 species